rnacentral:rRNA from 1 species
CAGAGACUGCAAGCGUUAUUCGGAUUCACUGGGCGUAAAGGGUGCGCAGGCGGCCAAGUGUGUUAGGCGUGAAAGCCCGGGGCUUAACCCCGGAAUUGCACCUAAAACUACUUGGCUAGAGCAUUGGAGAGGGUAGCGGAAUUCACGGUGUAGCAGUGAAAUGCGUAGAUAUCGUGAGGAACACCAGAGGCGAAGGCGGCUACCUGGACAAUUGCUGACGCUCAGGCACGAAAGCGUGGGGAGCAAAAGGGAUUAGAUACCCCUGUAGUCCACGCCCUAAACGGUGCACACUAGGUCUUGGCGGAUUCGACCCCACCAGGGCCCAAGCUAACGCGUUAAGUGUGCCGCCUGAGGACUACGGCGCAAGACUA